AGGGCACCACCAGGAGUGGGGCCUGCGGCUUAAUUUGACUCAACACGGGGAAACUUACCCGGCCUGGACACUGGAAGGAUUGACAGAUUGAGAGCUCUUUCUUGAUUCAGUGGGUGGUGGUGCAUGGCCGUUCUUAGUUGGUGGAGCGAUUUGUCUGGUUAAUUCCGAUAACGAACGAGACUCUAGCCUAUUAAAUAGGCUCUCGGCUUUUAAACGCCGGGAGGACUUCUUAGAGGGACAGGUGGCGGUUCAGCCGCACGAAAGAGAGCAAUAACAGGUCUGUGAUGCCCUUUGUUGUCCGGGGCCGCACGCGCGCUACACUGAAGAGAUCAGCGUGCUUUGCGUUCCUGCUCCGACCGGAGUGGGGAACCCAGUGAACCUUCUUCGUGAUUGGGAUAGAAGAUUGUAAUUAUUCUUCUUGAACGAGGAAUUCCCAGUAAAUGCGAGUCAUAAGCUCGCGUUGAUUACAUCCCUGCCCUUUGUACACACCGCCCGUCGCUACUACCGAUUGAACGAUUU
rnacentral:rRNA from 1 species